CCUACGGGUGGCAGCAGUGGGGAAUAUUGGGCAAUGGGCGCAAGCCUGACCCAGCCAAGUAGCGUGAAGGAUGACUGCCCUAUGGGUUGUAAACUUCUUUUAUAAAGGAAUAAAACGAGGCACGUGUGCCUGUUUGCAUGUACUUUAUGAAUAAGGAUCGGCUAACUCCGUGCCAGCAGCCGCGGUAAUACGGAGGACCCGAGCGUUAUCCGGAUUUAUUGGGUUUAAAGGGAGCGUAGAUGGGUUGUUAAGUCAGUUGUGAAAGUUUGCGGCCCAACCGUAAAAUUGCAGUUGAUACUGGCAGUCUUGAGUACAGUUGAGGUAGGCGGAAUUCGUGGUGUAGCGGUGAAAUGCUUAGAUAUCACGAGGAACCCCGAUUGCGAAGGCAGCUUACUAAACUGUGACUGACAUUGAUGCUCGAAAGUGUGGGUAUCAAACAGGAUUAGAUACCCCAGUAGUC
rnacentral:rRNA from 1 species